rnacentral:lncRNA from 7 species
AGGAAAGGGGUGAACUGAAAUGGCGGAUGUAGCACAUUAUGGCACCGAGCAAACUUCCACAUCUUGCUGUCAAAGAUACGAAUGAUAACAUGAACAACAAAAUUUAUAUUGCUUUUGCACUGCAUGCACGGGAGGAAAAACGUGGCGGUUCACAGCCCAUCAGGCUGUCUCACCGGGUGCAGGAAGCUUGUGCAACUGGAGCAGAGUGGUACUUGGGCUUGAAGGAAAUAGUGACUGGUCCUUGAAGAAGGCUCAGAAGUAAUCAUCACAGGCUGUAGCAGCUCAUCCACGAGGAUUAUAACGCUUUGUGUUUUAACAGGAAAGGAUCUUAAAAAAGAUGGAUUAAAGGAAUCAAAACAACUGGCUGCAUCAGAAGGAUAUCCGAGCUGUCUGAUUUGCUGCAGCAUGGUUGUAUUUUUGUCUUGUGGUAUUGGGUAACCUUUCUCUGUAUACCCAGGAUCAAUUGCCUGCUGUGACCUGAUCCUCCAGAAGGAGCGUGGGAUUAUACUGAGGCAAAAGUGACAGAACUAAUGGGGAGUCAACAACAAGCUUUUCCAGUCAGCAACACAAUGACAUUCAAAUAAUGUCUUAUUCUUCUUGCCUCACAUGUCCCUGUAAGGGACAUGCAUGAGGAGACUUUGAGUGAGCUGGACUUUCUCAGCCUGGAGGAGAGAAGCCAAAAAGGAGGCCCAAACUGCUGCCUUCAACAAUCUAAUGGAAGUUUCUGUUUCACCCCAAAGCCUGACAUUCUCUUUCAAUACCCAAAACUAUGCCUGUAUUUUCCAGGUAUACCAAGGGUCUAAUAAGCAACAAACCUUGUCUUGCCUAGUAAUCCCUAGUGUUCACUUUACUUUUCUUAUUGACGUUAAAACUGUGUUAUAACGCUCAAGUCCCCUUCCUGAGGGGCAGCUCACUUCUGUUCAUGUAAAAUCAGGACUGUUUCCUCCUGCAUGUGUCAUAUGUUACCUGUGUUACUUUAUAUUCACCAAUGUUGAAUUCCAGCUGCUAUUUCAUUAUUUUGUGAAGGUCUUCUGCAGUUCCUUUCAGUCAGCCAUAUUCUUUGCUAUUUUGAUUAAUUUCAUAUUGUCACAAAACUUUGCCAUUUGGCUUUUCAUACUGAUUUUCAGAUUUUUAAGCUCAUAGCACAGACCCAAAUUCAGAGCCAGAUACUUAUGACAUCUCUCCAUUUCUUUUGUUUCUUUUCAUAAAAACUAUUAGUGGUAUCUGUGUGGCCUUUUUAUCUCAUUAUGGGUUGGUUUACUCAGGGAAAUAUUAAUGGGAGUCUUUGUAAAUUCUUCUUGUAAACUCCAAGCUGAUAUAUCAGUGUCAUUUCCUUUCCAUGAACUUGUUGAUUCCUUCAAGGAAAUAAAAACAGGUUUCCCAUCUAU